GGAGAAGUACCCAAGUGGCUGAAGGGGGCGCACUCGAAAUGCGUUAGGGCGGUUAUUGCCGUCGCGUGGGUUCAAAUCCCACUUUCUCCGCCA
rnacentral:tRNA from 3 species